GGCGUCGAUAUUCGACGUCAUAAACACGAUCAACUUUGGUGUUUAUGACGUCGAUAUUCGACUUCAUAAACACGAUCAACUUUGGUGUUUAUGCCGGCGAUAUUUGAAGUGAUAAACACAAUCAACUUUGGUGUUUAUGAAGUCGAUAUACGACUUCAUAAACACGAUCAACUUUGGUGUUUAUGACGUCGAUAUUCGACGUC
rnacentral:miRNA from 1 species